rnacentral:rRNA from 1 species
CUACGGGAGGCAGCAGUGGGGAAUAUUGGACAAUGGGGGAAACCCUGAUCCAGCAAUGCCGCGUGUGUGAAGAAGGCCUGCGGGUUGUAAAGCACUUUCGGUUGGGAGGACUGCUUCUAGCACUAAUAUUGUUGGAAGUUGACGUUACCUUCAGAAGAAGCACCGGCUAACUCCGUGCCAGCAGCCGCGGUAAUACGGAGGGUGCAAGCGUUAAUCGGAAUUACUGGGCGUAAAGCGCGCGUAGGCGGCUAGAUCAGUCGGGUGUGAAAGCCCCGGGCUUAACCUGGGAACUGCAUCCGAUACUGUCUAGCUUGAGUACAGGAGAGGAGAGUGGAAUUCCACAUGUAGCGGUGAAGUGCGUAGAUAUGUGGAGGAACACCAAUGGCGAAGGCAGCUCUCUGGCCUGAUACUGACGCUGAGGUGCGAAAGCGUGGGGAGCAAACAGGGUUAGAUACCCUGGUAGUC